rnacentral:rRNA from 1 species
AGUGAACGCUGGCGGUAGGCCUAACACAUGCAAGUCGAACGGCAGCACAGAGGAGCUUGCUCCUUGGGUGGCGAGUGGCGGACGGGUGAGGAAUACAUCGGAAUCUACUUUUUCGUGGGGGAUAACGUAGGGAAACUUACGCUAAUACCGCAUACGGCCUACGGGUGAAAGCAGGGGACCUUCGGGCCUUGCGCGAUUGAAUGAGCCGAUGUCGGAUUAGCUAGUUGGCGGGGUAAAGGCCCACCAAGGCGACGAUCCGUAGCUGGUCUGAGAGGAUGAUCAGCCACACUGGAACUGAGACACGGUCCAGACUCCUACGGGAGGCAGCAGUGGGGAAUAUUGGACAAUGGGCGCAAGCCUGAUCCAGCCAUACCGCGUGGGUGAAGAAGGCCUUCGGGUUGUAAAGCCCUUUUGUUGGGAAAGAAAUCCAGCUGGCUAAUACCCGGUUGGGAUGACGGUACCCAAAGAAUAAGCACCGGCUAACUUCGUGCCAGCCGCCGCCGUAAUAC